AGAGUUUGAUUCUGGCUCAGGAUGAACGCUAGCCAUAGGCCUAACACAUGCAAGUCGACGCUUCUGCAAAGAAGAGUGGNAAACGGGUGAGUAACACGUAGGAAUCUGCCCAACAGUCGGGGAAAUAGUUUUAUCUAUGAAUCCCGAAUCAAAAAACUAAGUGUUGUUGUUGGAUAGCCUGCGGAGGAUUAGGUAGUUGGUGAAGUAAGAGCUCACCAAGCCGAUGAUCCUUAGUGGUCUGAGAGGACGAUCAGCCACACUGGGACUGAGAAGGGCCCAGACUUCUACGGAAGCAGCAGUGGGGAAUCUUGGACAAUGGGCGAAAGCCUGAUCCAGCUAUAUGGCGUGAGUGUGAAGGCAAUUUCUGUCGUAAAACUCUUUCAUUGAGAACGAAUUAUGAUGUAACUCAAAAAGAAGCCCCGGCUAACUCCGUGCCAGCAGCCGCGGUAA
rnacentral:rRNA from 1 species